rnacentral:rRNA from 1 species
UACGUAGGUGGCAAGCGUUGUCCGGAUUUACUGGGCGUAAAGAGCGCGCAGGCGGUCGUUCAAGUCGAGUGUGAAAGCCCCUGGCUCAACUGGGGAGGGUCACUCGAUACUGAUCGACUCGAAGGCAGAAGAGGGAAGCGGAAUUCCCGGUGUAGUGGUGAAAUGCGUAGAUAUCGGGAGGAACACCAGUGGCGAAGGCGGCUUUCUGGUCUGCUCUUGACGCUGAGGCGCGAAAGCUAGGGUAGCAAACGGG